GUGGAAGGGGCAUGCAGAGGAGUGGAAAUGAUCAGAUGAUGAUUCCUGGGCCUUCUUUAACUCCUGUGCUUGCCUCUUCCACC
rnacentral:pre_miRNA from 1 species